AGAGUUUGAUCCUGGCUCAGAAUCAACGCUGGCGGCGUGCCUAACACAUGCAAGUCGAACGAGAAAGGGGAGCAAUCCCUGAGUAAAGUGGCGACCGGGUGAGUAACACGUGACCAACCUGCCCUCGAGUGGGGAAUAACCCCGGGAAACCGGGGCUAAUACCGCAUAACAUCCCCGAUGCGGAAGCGUCGAGGAUCAAA
rnacentral:rRNA from 1 species